AUACGAAGGGGGCUAGCGUUGUUCGGAAUUACUGGGCGUAAAGCGCGCGUAGGCGGACUGAUCAGUUGGGGGUGAAAUCCCAGGGCUUAACCCUGGAACUGCCUUCAAUACUGUCAGUCUUGAGAUUGGAAGAGGUGAGUGGAAUUCCUAGUGUAGAGGUGAAAUUCAUAGAUAUUAGGAGGAACACCAGUGGCGAAGGCGGCUCACUGGUCCAAUACUGACGCUGAGGUACGAAAGCGUGGGGAGCAAACAGGAUUAGAAACCCUUGUAGUCC
rnacentral:rRNA from 1 species